CGAAUCCUGCACGACCCACCAAUUUCAGCCAUUUAACUCAGAUGCUGAACGUGAAGGAUAACGUUGCGUCAGCAACGGCCCGAAGGGCGAGGCGAAGUCGAGUCAUCCUGCACGACCCACCA
rnacentral:sRNA from 1 species